rnacentral:rRNA from 1 species
GACGAACGCUGGCGGCGUGCUUAACACAUGCAAGUCGAACGGAAAGGCCCUGCUUGCAGGGUACUCGAGUGGCGAACGGGUGAGUAACACGUGGGUGAUCUGCCCUGCACUUCGGGAUAAGCCUGGGAAACUGGGUCUAAUACCGGAUAGGAGCCAUUUUUAGUGUGAUGGUUGGAAAGUUUUUUCGGUGUAGGAUGAGCUCGCGGCCUAUCAGCUUGUUGGUGGGGUAAUGGCCUACCAAGGCGGCGACGGGUAGCCGGCCUGAGAGGGUGGACGGCCACAUUGGGACUGAGAUACGGCCCAGACUCCUACGGGAGGCAGCAGUGGGGAAUAUUGCACAAUGGGCGCAAGCCUGAUGCAGCGACGCCGCGUGGGGGAUGACGGCCUUCGGGUUGUAAACUCCUUGCGCUAGGGACGAAGCUUUUUGUGACGGUACCUAGAUAAGAAGCACCGGCUAACUACGUG